rnacentral:rRNA from 1 species
AUUGAACGCUGGCGGCAUGCCUUACACAUGCAAGUCGAACGGUAACAGGUCUUCGGAUGCUGACGAGUGGCGAACGGGUGAGUAAUACAUCGGAACGUGCCUAGUAGUGGGGGAUAACUACUCGAAAGAGUGGCUAAUACCGCAUGAGAUCUACGGAUGAAAGCAGGGGAUCGCAAGACCUUGUGCUACUAGAGCGGCCGAUGGCAAAUUAGGUAGUUGGUGGGAUAAAAGAUUACCAAGCCGACGAUCUGUGGCUGGUCUGAGAGGACGAUCAGCCACACUGGGACUGAGACACGGCCCAGACUCCUACGGGAGGCAGCAGUGGGGAAUGUUGGACAAUGGGCGAAAGCCUGAUCCAGCAAUGCCGCGUGCAGGAUGAAGGCCUUCGGGUUGUAAACUGCUUUUGUACGGAACGAAAAGCCCUGGGUUAAUAUCCUGGGGUCAUGACGGUACCGUAAGAAUAAGCACCGGCUAACUACGUGCCAGCCGCCGCGGUAA